ensembl:lncRNA
UCCGACUAUACAGUGAUGUAGUGAUUAUAAAAUAGAUGCUGUUCGCAGUGAGUAAAGUAACACUCCCUUUACUUUCAAUGCAUUUUUCUGCAAAAAGUGGGUAAACCCUGGCGCAAAGUAAAUAAGGUGUGGAAAUGGUAUUUCUGUGAGUUUCCUUUCCACUACACUACUGGGACUAUCCUUUCCUGUUAUGGUUGGGAAUCUUAGUUUUGCCUUUAAGAAACAUAUUUUCCUUUGAUAUUCGGCACUGGUACAAAGCCAUUGGAUGUGUGUAUAUGUUAUAGCCAAUCAUAGUAAUCCAGUAGGCUAAUGCAGCACACAGGGAUGUAUGAAACAUACUCCUCAGCCUGAACUGUCCCCACUUGUGCUGCGGGAUAGCUAGCUUUUUGUGUGGCACGACUGGUAAGAUGCUUCGGUAGGACGGUCACGCGUGCUAGCAAAACAGAGGUCCUGGGUUUGAGCCUCGGUGUGAGCAGAAUCAGGAGGACGCUAAGCAAGAAGCUCAAUGUCCUUUACACUAACUCUGGGAAGAUCUUAAUUACAUACUUCUCGCAUCCUCUUUCCUCGACUCCUCAAAACCCAUUGGAUGAGAAGGUCAGAGGGGAGGGACCUCUUGCGUUCUCAUCCAAUGGGUUUUGAGUAGGAGACGAGGAGACAGGAAGAGAAGGAGAAUGUAAUUGAGAUCUUUCCACUGUUUCAUUGUCCUCUGCAGCCCAUUGAUAGGGCCCACAUCUGGUACUACCAGCUGAAGUUGGGCUUCUACGUCUCUCUGCUUCUCCUUGUCUCUGUGGACGUCGAGGAAAGAUUUCAAAGAGCAGGUGAUUCCCCACAUUACCACAAUCGUCCUGCUUGGUUUCUCCUACUGUUCCAACUAGAAUAAUCCACACAACCCUUAUGCUGUCCAUGGAAGUAUUUGAACCCUUCACUAGCUACAAUUAUUUCAAUGUUCUUCUGAUGGUGCUACAAGCACUUCAUGUCUUCUGGGCUGUGUUAAUCCUACAGAUGGCCUAC